rnacentral:rRNA from 1 species
UACGAAGGGGGCUAGCGUUGCUCGGAAUCACUGGGCGUAAAGCGCACGUAGGCGGAUCUUUAAGUCGGUGGUGAAAUCCUGGAGCUCAACUCCAGAACUGCCUUCGAUACUGAGGAUCUCGAGUCCGGGAGAGGUGAGUGGAACUGCGAGUGUAGAGGUGAAAUUCGUAGAUAUUCGCAAGAACACCGGUGGCGAAGGCGGCCCACUGGAUCGGUACUGACGCUGAGGUGCGAAAGCGUGGGGAGCAAACAGG